UUGGGUUUUUUCCCCCCUCCUUUGCAUUAAUUUGUUUUGCUUCUAAAAUGGAAUGUAACAACUGUUUAGUAGUUCAUAGCUCAUUUAUUCACCUUUUUCACCUUUGUUGCUCGACAUUUUAGUUCUCCUUAUUUAAAUGAGCAUUAUGUGCUGGGAUUUUAGCAUUAAAUAAAUGCUUUUCUGCCCAGUUUCACCUCUUACAAAUUCCAAACUCAUGAAAUAUAUUAUAAACAAAGACCUACAAUAGAACAUAUAAAGCAGCACUUAGAAAUGCAGUUUGCCAGUGAUGGAUUAGGGAUUUACAUUCCCAAACUACCAAAUACAGUGGUCUCCUUGACCACCCAGCUACGCUGAUUUAUUCGCAGUGACAGAUUAAGCAGUCUUCAUCAUUACAUAUCAUUAGUGGAAAUCAAAGUCAUGUCAGAUAUUGAUGGUAAUACCUUUCAAAGGUACAUUACUGGCCAAGCUUUAUGAGCAGCUUUCACAUUAAUUAUUCAGUGAGCAACAAUGCUUAAAAUAUAUGCAUAUAUAUACUCUUGGAUCCUUGGACUAUAUUCAUCACUGAUGAUUUUGGAGGAAUGGAAAAUAAACUCAAACUUGAAGUUAACCUGUACCUGGAAGCAGCAAGUUCAGGCUUCUCAAUUUAUAGAUUUACUAUUUUAAGUCAAUUGCAUUAAAGUGCAGUAAGACAUCUCAAUUGCAAAAGCAAAACCUCCUAUCUAAUAUAUAUCUAUCUAUAUAUAUCUAUAUGUCUAAAUUCUAGCAUUAAACACAACUCUUUUUCUGUAUGCUGAAAACCUAUUCAAAUUACUGAUCAAAAAAAAAAAAGUAUUAAACUUCCAUCUAAAGGCAUGCAGUUAUUCUGGGUUAUGUUAUUGUAUGUUAUCAAUAUGCUAUUGAUUAAAACUAAUCUAUUAUAGGUACAGAACAAUCCAGUGUUGAUGCUUAUUUUAAAAUCAAGAAGAGAUGAAAGCAAUUUCCAUAGCCCAUUUUAAACUUUCACUCAAAACAUGUAGGUUAAUGGAAGUUAAUAUAAACAGCAUGGAACAGAAGGACUAAAAUCUGAUGAGAAACAAUCAGAAUAAUUUGGUCUGCCAGCUGAAAGGAUACACAUGUACGACUAAAUUGAACUUUGUUUAUGCCUUUUGAUUUUCAAGACUUCUCUAGCAUGAUUACCCUAUCUCCAGUUCUUUCAAGGGGAAAACUCCUCCCUCUUUCUGAAUCUGCUUCUAAAUCAACUUUUUAAAUACUGUUUUUACAAUAUUAGGUAUGUCACACUAUUUAGUUUCUGCUCUAAACAUCUGCAAAGAGAAUGUACCUCCCACAACUCCUGGCCUGCCCCUGACUUUCUCUACAUCUGCUACUAUUAUUUUUAUAGUCUCUGAUUUGUUCUUGCCAUUUUUUGAUGUAAACAAGAGUAGGGGAAGCCCCUUUUUGUUUCUCCUCUUAUAUACCUUUGAGAAAUGAGAUUAUAAUUACAGUGCCAAGCAAUUUAUGCAGCUGCAAGUAGUAUUCCUGGGCACUUCAAAGAGUUCUUGACCAAAAAGAAAUCUCAGAUGCUUUAAAAAAAUAAGAAUUUUCACUAUGAAAGGAAUUAAAAUGAAACAUUACCUAAGUAGGGGUGUACAGUAAAGGAUGAGAUUAAACACAGGAAAAUAGCAAGGCCUCCAUAAGCAGCCUGCAUUAUGCUUGUGUUUAUGUUAAAAAAACCUGCAGUACUUUUUACCCUUAAGGGCUUGUUUCAUUUUGUACACAAAUUACAUCCACUCUGCGAGACACCAUUUAUAAUGGCAGAGUGGAUGUAAUGGCAGACAAUCAGAUCAGACACGACACUCAAGGGUCUCUAUAAACUUCACAUUUAAAAAGCAACAUGUCAGUAGAUUUGGCUACUACAGGUUUCCCCCAUCAUUUAAUUCCCAUUUAUCUUAAAUUGGUAAAUGGCUUAAAAGUCGCUGUACACAGUCACUCACAUAACCAUACCACACAUGCAAUGAAUGGUCCAAGUCUCUGGUGAUUUUAGGAAAUCACCUCAAAAAAUCUGCUUUUGUGCCACUUUGUAGUCCAGGGAAUAGACUUCACAUUAGAAAGUUGGUUUUUUUUACAAGCUUCCCAAAUAAAAUUUUUGAGACACAAAAAUGGUGAAAACUUUAGUUCAACAGGUUUAUUUUGAUGCAGCGAUGAGGACAGCAGUGGUUUGUUAUACACUGUGUUGAAAAAGAAAAAACCCACAGUACUUGAUAGCACAGAGUUAUCAGAAGUUACUUAAUUAUCAUACAUAAAAAUUGUUUUUCAGAAGUAAGAUUGCAAAUCACUCCAAGUUGUGCUUGAGCACAUUUUGCACAGUAAGAUUAGUAUAAAACAAAUUAUCCUGAAAAAUAAUUAUAUUAUUCAGUAAUUUUUUUACAGUUCCCUUUUUGAAUCUUCAUGUUGAGCCUCCACUUAUCCACGUUUUUUAUUAAGAAAAUGGAUACCUAAUCUAAUAAUAACCCCAGACACGAGCAGCUUCAUGAAUUGUAAAAGUUAAAACUGGAAGAAUUAUAUCUCUCAUAAAUCAGAGCUCCUCUAUUAACAUCAGGAAAAUAUUGUGGAAAUUUCCAGCCCUAUCAAGUACUGCCCUGAAAGAAACCAGACCUUUGAUGUGACUAGCACAGGCUGCCCUCAAGACCAUCAGGAAGAAGAAUUAGUUUCAGAUAGGGAAAGACGUGGGCCAGUAACAGCGCCUCGAGUUUCAGCAGGAAUGAAAGCUCAGCCACAGGGACAAGUGAUGGGGCAGUGCUAGGGAGCACAAGGAAAAUUCAUGGAACUAUCCUAAAAGUGGCUGCAAAUGAAAGGAAUCUGAUUGUUCAGAGCAGGGAAAGCAAGUUCUGCUGUCAGUCAUUCCAAGGGAUCCCUGGAGCUGGACAAAGGGAGUCCCUUUCUGUGGAGGUUUUACAAAGGUGCUCACAGCCAUCUCUCCUGCAGUGGCUGAAGCCAGUGAAGGACAUCAGUGCUUAAUGGACACAAAUAAAUCUAGCAGAAUAUGUAGCUACAACAUCUGUCAAAACAUACAAACUAAAACCUAGCAAAACUCACUAUUAAAUUGGCAAACUUCCUUGAUUUUGGUGGGUUUUUUGGAAGGAUAUGGCAUGUAAAUUUGUAGCCAGAGAUUCUAAUAAAUUUUUUACUCUUCCAGCAUUUGUUUUAUCAGGUUUACAAUUAGUUUAUUAUGUACCAAUAGUCUGUAUCCAGCAGAGAAUCACUGUCCAUGUUGCCCCUUUAAUACACUUCAUGACUGGGACAUGGAAACUGAGGCUAACUUUUGUCUGCUGCAGCAUUACAAAAUAAUAACUCAAUUUGAGAUGCAGUUCCCAACAAUUCAAACUGGCCAGUAAAGCACACACAGUAAGGCUCUAGAAACCAAGGGAUCUUGGGUUGUAUUGUCAAUGUCUAAAUCUACAGAAUGGCAAACACAUUUUCCCACAUCACAAAGCACAUUUUGAGAGCUGACUAGCUCAAAGUUUGGAGUGGGUUUAUUUUUCAUCUUUCUUAAUUAUGCGGUUCUGUCAAUCACAUAAAAUUCCCUCAAAAUAAUGACCGUAAAGAAAUAGAGUCAUUACUAAUCAUUGAAUGAUCACAGGCAAAUCAAACCCCAGCAGCAGUAUCUGACAGCUCCCAGGGGAUACAAGUGCUGUCAGUCCAGAACCUGCCACAUUAAGAAAUCCCUUAGCUGAGCUGUUGUACCAGUUAAGAGCUGAAAGGUGCACAGAGCUGUAAGGAAACAAGUGGAAGAGUCUCCUGCAGAAAGUUUGCAGCAGCUGCUUUUUCACCUUGGACAAGAAUAUCUUUGGCUAGAAACAGUCCUGGUAUGGGACCUAUACAUGGACAGCAUUGCAUAACUCUUUUACUACCCAGUGCUCUAUCCAUGAUCAAUGUGAAUUGUUGGUGCUCUGCCCCAGUUCCUGUGCAGUCAGACCCCCUCUCUCACUUUGGUUCCAUGCCACAGGCCCAGCUGCAGUAUUUAGUAUAUCCAGGUAUGCCACACACAUGGAACUUCUCAGUUUUCCCAAGGCCAAGACAAACUCAGUUACUCUUUAAAAGAAAUAUUCUUCAAAAAUAUCAGUUAACUUCUUAGUCGCAGCUGACACAUGAAAGUCUCCACAACACUAAUAAGCUUGAAAGAAUUUAUACAACAAAGGCUUAGGGGUGACAUACCCAGUACCUGAAGGGAGUCUGCAAGAAAAAUGGCGAUUGUUUACAAGAAAAUGGAGAGAGAGGACAAGGGGGAAUGGAUCCAAACUGACAGAGAGUAGGUUUACAUCAGAUAUUAGGAAAAAAUUAUUUACUGUGAGGGUGGCACUGAAAUCAGCUGUCUGGAGAUGCUGUGGACGACCCAGCCCUGGAACUGUUCAAGGUCAGGCUGGAUAGGGCUCUGAGCAACCCAGACUAGGGGCAAGUGUCCCUGUCCAUGACAGGAGGUUGGAACUGGAUGAUUGUUAAGGUCCUUUCCAACCCAAAACCUUCCAUGGAUGACUGACUCUGUGCAUUGAUGAAACCAAAACUUAUUUCAGGUGAAAAAGUAGGUGCAAAAGCAGGAACCUCUCACAGGAGAGGUGUGAGUAUCAGUGAAACAAUUUGGACUGGUGGAGAUGAGCACCUACGAACAUAAGAAACGCAGGCAGUGCUUAACUCUCAAGUACUAGAUUAGUUCUCUGAGGAAGAAAAGGAAACUGCACUUGGCCAAAGGAAAGAGAGAGUUAUAGAGAAAAAGACUAUAAUGUAUCCUACAAGGCUGGAAAAGUAAUACUGGAAAAUAAGGAGCUUCUUCUUGUACCUCACAGCAACAAUUAAAAGGUAUUUGAACUUGAUUAGAGUGGUCUAUUCUUCAUUAGUAUUAGAAUAAAGACAACACUGCACUCCCAGAACUUCAGAUUGAAGGGAACACAAACUGCUCAGUAUCAAAUAUAAGGAUAAAAAAGGCUUAUGAAAAUGAUCCAAAAAGCUAACAGUGCACCUUUCAGAAGCAUAAGUAAUAUAUUCAUGUCUCUGAAAGAACAAAAAUAUUUGUUUGUAAUGCCCUUGGUACAGCCCAAUAUAACAAGCCCUGACAGAUCAGCAUUUAUUUUGCUGACCAUUGGGUGUCCAAAUUCUUCUCCUGCAAUUAGUUCUAGUGGAUUGAAGAGAAAAUACUACACAGUUCUGCCAGUCACAAGCAAAGUCUGUAACACAGCACCAGGCAAUCAAGUCCUUCUCAGGACUGACAAUAUUUUUCCAUCUAGCAGCAUCAGGACACUGUUGCAGAAAGGCUCUCACUUCCCUCUUCAUCCAAAUUAGUUUUACAUCAACAGUUCCUACUUUCCUGCUGUCAACUACUCAAUGAUGAAUUGAUAAUGCAUUUCGAUGAAGGACAGUGUAUACAUAUAAUAAAAAAAAUAUUGAUGUGGCUUCCAUAAUUCAUUAUAAAGUUUUUAUUCUUUUUAUUCAGUUUGGAGACUUUCACGAGCCAUUAGCUGGAUUUCCAUUUCAAGAAUAAAUUCAUGGUUCACAUAGAUGUUAUUUCAAAAUCAAAAGCUUGCUGACGAUACUGGGUAUAGUGCAUGUGAAAGUGCAUUGCUAGGGUUUGGGGGGUUAUUGGUUUGGUUUUUGGUUUUUUUAACUACCAUAGCAAUGAUGACAAGUCACCCAAGGCUUCUCAUUUUUGUGCAACAUGCAUCAUUCUUUUAAAAAAGUGCAAUAGUGCAGGUGUGCAAGUAAUAAGAUCUUAUAAAGGAAAAACAUUCUUGCUCGUAAAGUAAAAUGAUCAAACAGCAACUUAGUCUUGUUGGAUUCUGAUAAAAAUGGGCUAUGUGAGACCAAACCAAGACUUAUUCCACAAGGAACCCAUGUAAGUCAUCAAGUGAGCCAUAUUUCCUUUUUUAAUUUAAAAUGUUUCAUUAUCUAGAGGAAGAAUGGAUAUAUGUUAUUAAUAUCUGACUACUACAUAUAUGAAGAAGGGCUUUUAUUAAUAACUACCAGGAGAAAGGCACGCUCAUGCUUGGCUUCACCUCACCACCGCAGAGGAAAGCUCACGUCUUUCAUCGAGAAUGGCAAUAUAUUCUUUCAGCUUACUAUUUUACAUCCUCUCUGAGGCUUUUAACCACUGGACUGAAUCCUGAACAAAGGAAUCGGAUGUCCAGAACGAAAGGCACAGGGGAGCAGCAGCUAUUUAUCCACUCUUUGCAAUAUUCUUCUGACAGUGUGAAGCGUAGCAGCCGCUGCCAGCGCCCACCGCCGCUCAAUAUUGAACGCGGAAAGGACCUUUCCAUCAGACAUCUCCGAGGAUCCUCCUAUUAGCAAGACUUAAGGAGGCCUUUGUCAUCUCAAAUAUGCUCAGCUGCUCACUGCACGGCGAAGCAGUGUAAGAACCAUUUAAAGAUGUGUCUGACAUCAUUAAUCUAUUUGCCCUCUGACCUGCGGAGCUGAACUGUAACUAUGGCGACUAAAGCUUGACCUUACUACGCUGAGAAACUUUAAAGCUCAGUAGUAUUUUGGGUCACAUUGUUAGGAUGAACAAAGGAAUAAAGAAGAAAUGUGACAGUUUCCUGGGAAUUAAGGUCAGCAGGUCAAUUGCCCUAAAACUUUGUUGUUAUAUGAUAAGCAAGACUAGGUGAAAUAAUUUUUCAGCAAUUAGAAUUUUAAAAACACCCAAACAACAAAAUCUAGAGGUUUUUGUUGUCUGAAGCA
ensembl:lncRNA